rnacentral:misc_RNA from 1 species
AAAUGCGAUAAGUAGUGUGAAUUGCAGAAUUCAGUGAAUCAUCGAAUCUUUGAACGCACAUUGCGCCCCUUGGUAUUCCAUGGGGCAUGUCUGUUCGAGCGUCAUUUGUACCCUCAAGCUCUGCUUGGUGUUGGGUGUUUGUCCCGUCUCCGCGCGUGGACUCGCCCCAAAGUGAUUGGCAGCCGGCGUACUGGUCCCGGAGCGCAGCACAUGUCGCGCAAACGAGUGCCUUGGUACGGCGGCGUCCAUAAGCCCCUCUCUCACGCUCUUGACCUCGGAUCAGGUAGGGAUACCCGCUGAACUUAAGC